UCCUCGGUAGCUCAGUUGGUUAGAGCACCUGACUGUUAAUCAGGGGGUCGCUGGUUCAAGCCCAGCCCGGGGAG
rnacentral:tRNA from 1 species